GCCCUUAGUAAAAACAUUCGUUCCUCAAGUUUUAAAAAUGUGCUAAUAACGUUAUUCUGAGUUAUUUCCCUCGGCAUUAUGAACGCGCAUCUAACCCACGGGACCACGCUGCCCGGCACGUUCAUGUGAUGUGACGUGUUCAGCACCUUCCCCUUCACACGCGGUCACGUUCAGUGUUCACUGUCACGUCACUGAGGCUAAAGAGACAACGCUUUAUAUAUACAGUCUAUGCUAACAACCGACAACAGUUUGCUCCAAAAGAUGGCAGAAAUAGCCGGAUCGACAUCCAGAAGGAAAGUGGGCCUCCCGCCAUACUUGGACAAGGUCCCAAUGUGUGGAUAAUAGGGAGCAGCUACGUUAGACGUGGGGAAGAAAGAGCCAGACACACCAUGGGAAGCAACCUGGGUCUCAAUUGCCGUGUGUGGUGGUUUGGCAAGGGUGGUCUGAGUCCCCCUGUUUUGUUUCUCUCUUUCCCUCACUCAUCUUCCCCAGCCUCACCCAGACGACGAGACGGUGUACAGAGAGGAGGUCGAAAACCUGACAUCUUGGUGCCAGGAUAACAACCUCCAUCUCAACGUCAGCAAAACCAAGGAGCUGAUUGUGGAUUGCAGGAAGCAGCAAAGAGAGGGACAC